rnacentral:misc_RNA from 1 species
UUUGUGAGGAGACCUGAGCUG